rnacentral:rRNA from 1 species
AGUGAACGCUGGCGGUAGGCCUAACACAUGCAAGUCGAACGGCAGCACAGUAAGAGCUUGCUCUUACGGGUGGCGAGUGGCGGACGGGUGAGGAAUACAUCGGAAUCUACUUUUUCGUGGGGGAUAACGUAGGGAAACUUACGCUAAUACCGCAUACGACCUACGGGUGAAAGCAGGGGAUCUUCGGACCUUGCGCGAUUGAAUGAGCCGAUGUCGGAUUAGCUAGUUGGCGGGGUAAAGGCCCACCAAGGCGACGAUCCGUAGCUGGUCUGAGAGGAUGAUCAGCCACACUGGAACUGAGACACGGUCCAGACUCCUACGGGAGGCAGCAGUGGGGAAUAUUGGACAAUGGGCGCAAGCCUGAUCCAGCCAUACCGCGUGGGUGAAGAAGGCCUUCGGGUUUUAAAGCCCUUUUGUUGGGAAAGAAAAGCAGCAGGUUAAUACCCCGCUGUUCUGAGGGUACCCAAAGAAUAAGCACCGGCUAACUUCGUG